CGUACACUCCUGCGGGAGGCAGCAGUGGGGAAUUUUGGACAAUGGGCGCAAGCCUGAUCCAGCCAUGCCGCGUGCGGGAAGAAGGCCUUCGGGUUGUAAACCGCUUUUGUCAGGGAAGAAAAGGUUCUGGCUAAUACCUGGGACUCAUGACGGUACCUGAAGAAUAAGCACCGGCUAACUACGUGCCAGCAGCCGCGGUAAUACGUAGGGUGCAAGCGUUAAUCGGAAUUACUGGGCGUAAAGCGUGCGCAGGCGGUUAUGCAAGACAGAGGUGAAAUCCCCGGGCUCAACCUGGGAACUGCCUUUGUGACUGCAUGGCUAGAGUACGGUAGAGGGGGAUGGAAUUCCGCGUGUAGCAGUGAAAUGCGUAGAUAUGCGGAGGAACACCGAUGGCGAAGGCAAUCCCCUGGACCUGUACUGACGCUCAUGCACGAAAGCGUGGGGAGCAAACAGGAUUAGAAACCCCUGUAGUCCCAUGAU
rnacentral:rRNA from 1 species